UCCCGGGUAGCUCAGCUGGUAAAGAAUCUGCCUGCAGUGCAGGAGACCCCGGUUUGAUUCUGGGGUCGGGAA
rfam:TPA: Bos taurus chromosome 15, whole genome shotgun sequence.